UAUUUUUGACGUCGAAGUAGUGUGGUUGUGUGCGCGGUCCCGUCUGCUUCAGCUUGAGGCCCCCGCCCUCUCGCAACAGCUGUUCUGUGCCAGAACAAAGCUUCCCUUAGGCCAUCACGUGACCGCAACCGCCGGAACACCUGGAAACAGGCGGCAAUAGAGUUAUAUGCUUCUGGCAAAAUGUUGGUUUGGACACAAUGAGAGACCAGACCUGUUGCUACGCUGUGCCUAGGUCAUUUUGUGUCUGACCCAUAUAACGGUGUCUAGUCCCCGUCCCGACGCUCCCCAGGGCCGCCAGUGGUGAAAGAGGGAAAGCAAGGUUAAACUAAAAGUGGCUAGGUCGAAGGCGCGAGCGGUAGUAUUAUUUUCUACGGGCUUCCUUCUCCCCAUUUCGCCGCCGCCAUCCUGGGACGUGUAGAAUGCCCGAUAAUUUCGUCUCUCGAUGAAGGAUUAGUUUCAUGCCACAGAGAGGCAAUCAGCCACAGUUUUUCAGACCAAGAAAAGGAAGCAGGCAUCUUCUAGGAUGACUAUCUCUUUACGUGCACAGACAAAGCCAAUCAGGAGGCCAAGCACGCCUGUGCCGGAGCAAGCUAGGUGUGCGUGAUGUGUGCCCCCGGGACUGAAUCUCGCACAGCGCCGCUCCAGAGUACCCACAUCCCAUCGCCCACAACACGCUUUGCGCGCAGGUGAGGGUCGCUGAGCACCCAUGUUGGUGCACAACGGGACGGACAACACCCUCGGGGGCCCCGCCCUCACCAAGGUGGCUCGGGUGGACGGCGUGUUGGGCGGACCCAUCUUUACCACGACUGCCACCAGCGCUGCCACCACCGCCGCCACCGCUGUUGCCGCUACAACCGCGACCACCACAGCCGCAGCCGUCGCAGCCCUUCAGCACCACCACGCCGAAGCUAACUUCACCCUCGGGACACUGUAUAAUGACUCGGGUGGCAGCGACGCCGGCGGGGGAGGAGGAGGGGCAGGAGGAGGAGGGCGCCUAGGGGGGCUAGAGACCGACUUCUCGUGGGCGGAAGGACUCAACGACUCCCUGGCCGCCACCGUGACGGGCUUCCUCAUGGGCAACGUGACGGACGAGGGAGUCGCGGCCGAGAACGUGACGGCGGCCGAGAGGAUCGUCUACUGCAAGGAGUGGACGGGUGCCACGCUCACGCUCUUCCAGGUGGCCAACUUCUUCUGCCUGCUGGCCUUCCUAGUCCCUCACAACUUCCGGCUGUCGGCGCUGGUGAUGCGAGCGGUCCUGAGCGUCGGGAUCCUCCUGUUCGCGCUGUGGGCGGCCCUGGACAUCUGCGCGGCCGACAUCUUCGCCUGGAACCUGAGCUUCCUCGUGGUCAACGCGGCCCACGUCCUGCACCUGACGUACACCGUGUGGCCGCCGCGGGUGCACCAGGACCUUGCCGACCUCUACGCCAAGGUCUUUAAGCCCCUCAGGGUGAACCGGCAGAACUUCAGCGCGCUAGUCAAGGAGGCGACGCUGAUGAGGCUGGAGGUGGGCGACACCUACGCGGUAGAGGACACGACGGCUGCCGACGAGCGCCUCUCGAUUCUCCUGUCGGGCAAGCUGAGAGUGAGCUGCGACAACACCCACCUGCACAACAUUCUGCCGACGCAUUUCAUCGACUCGCCCGAGUGGGAGGCCUGCGCCGACGACUCCGACGAACUCUUUCAGGUGACCAUCGUGGCUGAGGAGCCGAGUGAGUACCUGUGCUGGUCGCGGCCCCGCCUGCGACACGUGUUACACCUGCGGCCCUUCCUCCGUGCCGUCAUGCACAACCUUAUAGGUAAGGACAUUACCACCAAGCUGUACUCGCAGCACGAACAGCUGGGCGUGGACGGCACCGGCGAGGCGGUGGGCGCGCGGGCGGGUGCGGGCGGCCUUGGAGCAGAGGACGUCUGGCGGGGCGCCGUGCAGCGCUCCAUGAGUGUCGACAACGUCCACACCGGUACUAAGGGCUUCGUCAGGUCCUUAGCAUGGCGCACCUCUCACAGACGCACCUCAGGGCCAUACAGCGAGAGUGUCCGUUCCUCGCCUGGGAGGUCCCGGGGGUCACACGCCUCCGCCCCGGUGCUCAAGGACGCGCAGUGGGGAGGGGCCCGCCAGCACCCGAGCUCGGGCCACCGCCUUCUGCCAACGCACUCGCCAGGCUUAGAGGCACCUACGGCAGGAGCGGCAGUACCAGGAGGGGCUGCGCCGCCGGAGGGGGACGCAGAAGGGACUCGCGGCGGAGGGAAGCAGCGCACCUCCCGGGAGAACGUGGUGAGGUGCGUGGCGGCUCAGGGCACUCCCCAGGUCCUCUCCGCCGACGCUCUCGACGACCCCGACCUUCUGGAGACUUCCGUCUGACCUCCUGCCUGCCUGCCUCUCUGUCUGCCUGCUUGGUGCCUGCCUGCCUGCCUGCCUGCCCUACAGCCAUCGUUAGACCAGUAGCCAGCAGAAGCAGGUGUCCCGGUAGAGGCUGGUAGUGAAUGAUAGCCUGGUAGUGUCGGGACUCUGCAUGUGGUCGCAAGGGCGCGUCCAGCCUCGCCUCGCCCCUGGAGUUGCUCUCUCUGGCGGUCUUCCAUUCAGGGGGCUUAUCCUGUGCCUUCCGCCGGUUCCUGGGCGUGCCAGAUUCGUGAGGCAGUGACCCGCCGCACCCGAACCCACUUCAUUUGUUGUUCUACCCGGAGACUGUGAAAUACCACCGCUGCCACCAAUUUGCAGCACAUGUGACGUCUUCUCUACUAGGAUGCCCCUCUCCUUUCCUUCUACCCAUCCCUUUGCUAGUAUCACCUACUUGUACGAAAAUGGACUAGAUAUGUGCCCUGCCUUUUCUCUAUUCUUGUUUCCUCUUUCACUCACCUCUCUCUCUUUCUCUCUCUCUCUGCUUGUCUUUCUCUCACGUGCAUUCAAACUUCAGCAUCCUUUAGCUGUUAGUGGAUGUUGUGCUUCCUUCUUCUAAGAUGAUGACAACAGUAGUGUUGUUGUUUACCUGUUAUGCUUCCAUCCACUACAACUUCUACCGUGCCGCUACACUGUGAUAAUGUCCAACUUCUACACAUAUUGCUUCAGGAAACUGUUCAAGUCUCCAUCCACAAGCCCUACAAAAGUAUCUUUUAAGUACUCUGGGAACGUGCUGCCUCUCCAUCCACAUUCCACAGAUGCAACAAGAAUGUGUCCCUUUCCAGAAUCUAGACAUGUGCCAGGAAAGUGUUGCGCCCUAAUGCAGUACUUAGACCUAUGCCAAAAAUAUAUUGUGUCCUUCAGUACCUAGACUUACCUGAAAAAUAUCUGUAGAUCCCCUAAAGCACUAUUUUAAGGCACCAGCUUCUUCAGGUGUCUAUAUCAACUGCCCAUCUGCACAUAGUGAUACUCUGACGAAUGACCUCUACAACCAUUACUAAGCUCCCAGAGUUCAGCAUUGCAAAGAAGGCAGGAUAAUAUGGUUAAUCAUUUUGUUUAUAUUUACAUAGUUUCUAAUAGAUCAUGAUGCGAGAUCAAGAAACACCAUUAUCAGAAAUAUCACAAGUUUUAAUCUAACACAGUAGAUGUCAUGCUUCUUACGACUCGACAAAGAUAUAAAGAAAAAUGUGGAAACGGAAAUGUGUGGACGCCUCUCACCUCGCCUUAUACAGAUGAGAUACAAUCUUACACUUCCCAAAGAUCAAAUGGAAGAUUUUAAUGUAAGACGGUUGAUUAUUUUUUAUGGAUGAUUUCUUCUGCAAGACGAUUGAUCACUGAAUAGGUCAUUCUUAAGGGUUUAACAAGUAUGUGACUGCAGUGUGAAGAUACACACUAUUAAGUUAUGCAACAUACUACCGUAAAUGAAGCAUUGACUAUCAUUACUCACAAAUAUACAUACACAUCAACAGUUACACAUUUGAAAUUACACGCAUGCACACAUACACUGAAACAUUUAUGUUUAUAUAUAAUAUAUCUGUAUGUGUAUGCACACAGAUGAACAAAUACAUUUGUAAUUGUGCACACGUGUAUUUUCCAAGAGUGUUACCAUAGAGGGCACGAGAGAGUCGUGCCCAUUCCCCAUUUUUACCGCUUGUCAGUGACUAGCGUUCAUGAGUUUUCUCCCUAUCCCCUCACUUCCAGAUUCUAAAGCCCUCAGCUGAAUUUGUCUUGGUAAUCCCCGAGGUAAAUUCAAAAUUAAUUGGUUUAUAGAUAUGUAUGCAUACACACGAACCAUACGUGUGCAAACAUACAUAUACAUAUAUAUAUGUAUAGGUACAGUAUAUUCAUAUAUAUAUAUAUAUAUAUAUAUAUAUAUAUAUAUAUAUUGUGUGUGUGUGUGUGUAUGUGUUGGUUGGUUGUUGGUCUCCGUGGUGGACAGACGUGUCCACCUCAGUUUCCUACCUCUUUCUCUGCCCAGCACAGUGUUACGGCACUCAGUACUUACCCGCCUUUUUAAACACUUUUUUUUUAUUUACAUUGAUAGGCUUUGGUCACUAGAUAUUAUAGGUAAUAGUUAUUAGCAUGGCAGUACCCAAAUGUCAAAAGAGCAGUUCCAGUCGCGAUAACCAGUAACAAGUCAGUGUCACCCCAGCCAGCAACAGGACAUCAUGCACACACACUCCCACACAAGGUAAGAAUGUUCCAUUUUAAACGCCACAUUAAGUCAUGCCUUACCUUCUGCAUCAUGACAGGUACACUAUUCGGACUUACUCUUCAUGCACUAAUAAAUCAUCUGCAAACAAGGACAACUACAACUACAACCACACCCCUUCGCCACACGUCUAAGGAACAUACAAGCAUUAACAUAACAUCCAUCCUCUUUGCUACAUGAUAGUCCAAACAACUAUAACAAUACAAAUCCACAUGCUUGUGACAUCAUCCUUUUAUUCUUAAUCCUCAGGUGCUAUUGUUAACCUCAGCCCUUGCCAACCAAAGGACCCUUGCAUGCUAUGCACAAAAGUGGUGAAACUGGGGCAAAGGGCCAUCCACUUCUUUGACUUCAAUCCCUACACAAUCUUACUCCAUCUGAUCAUCCCCCCUCCCCCAAACCCCUACUUUUCUUCCCCUUCCCUUCCUCCUCUUUCUCUUACUCCUGUUCCCCUUUCAUUCUUUCCCAUCUUCUUCCUCCCUUCCCUCCUUCCCCUAAUUCCCCCCGUCUUCUCCCAAACUCUUCUUCUCCCACACAUCCUCCCGCACAGCCUCUUCCUCUCUCGCACCCAUACCUCCCCAGCCAUGACCCAGCAUCACGCCCAAACCCUUCAGACCCAACUCCUUCUCCCUACUGAAGCAUACAACUGAACAUCAUGAUAGGUACAGGGAUACGAUUGAGAACCAACAUAAACUCCCCCAUGUAGUAUGAUAGUUAUAUGUAGAGACGUCGAUCAUAGGCCUAACCUUGACACAGCCUGUGAGAUUACCUGAAUCCGAUUACAAUUUCUUAACUUACUCGCCACUUUCUACAGGCCCCCAUCUUCCAACACAGAAUACACAUUUGGAUCGCAGUAGCUUCAACCUCCCUAAUAUCGACUGGACAACUACAUACCUUUUCAACUCAGACGUAUAUGCAGAUGCUCGAAACACAAUCAUUCCCACACAACCCGGCACCAACUACACGACAUCUUAAUCGACAACAUGAAGCUAUUCUCAAUCUCCACAGACACUACUCAACCUAAAGCGAAAACAAAUCACCACACGCUGUUCAUACUCUAGAUCUCUUUCUCACAAGCAUGACACUCCACAAUGUUCUGUCUUUCGCAAAAAAACACAAAAAACACUUUCGAGUAGGUAUAUACUCCCUUGAUUCUCCAGAGAUCUAUGUAGAUAAUACCAAAGAAAACAGUCUCUAUAGACGUGUAAAGUCACACAACACACCAGAGAACUGGCACGCAUUUAAUUAAUAAAGGAAAGAAAAAAAGUAUAAAGAAGGCAGGACGCAAACACAUCAGUAGAUAUCUCACAGACAAAGUAAAAAACAAAUCUAGACAUUUCUUCAUUUUUAAGACGUUUAAACAGGACACCACAAGCAUAGUUGUCCUUAAAGACCUCAACGACACUCUUGUCUCCACACCAGAACACAAAACACACCAACUCGACACACACUUCCAAUCUAUCGCCACAAAAGAAAACUCCAUUACACCGAAAAUGCUAAACAGCCCCCGACACAUCCCGACCCUCGACAGGAGGGAAAACGGAAUACAGAAGCUACCAGAGAUACUGAACAAUAACAAAUCAACUCACCCCGGCAAAAUCCCUCUUAUCUUCCUCAAAACCUGUACCCAUCGUCACAUGCAUCCUCCAAACCAUCUUCAUGCAAUCCCUCUGUCACAUCCGACUGGCUUUGCACAGGCGUCACACCUAUUUUUAAGUCAGGUGACCGGAAUAACCCAUCUCCCUUGCCUCCAUCGUGUUCAAAAUCUUCGAACACAUAAUGAACCAUCUUGACGGAUACAUCAUACUAACUGAUGCACAACACGGAUUCAGUCCCAUAUGAUCAGAGACGUUUAGAAAGUCCCCCACAAAAGACGGACACAAAAAAUACAAUUUUACAAAAUCACUGAAGCAAUUCUUCACUGGAUCACAGCUUUUCUGUUUAACAAAGCCCAAUAUGUUCUCCUUGGCAUCUAACCCUGCCCCUGCCUCUUCUGGUGUCCCUCAGAGCACUGUCCUAGGCCAUUUCCUUAUCUUACCCUACAUAAACGAUUUCCCACUGUACUAAUUCUACAGCUAGACUAUUUGCUGACGACAGCCUCAUCUAUAGACUGAUCGAAACAUCUAACACCUGUAAAUUCCUAUAGACUUACUUAGACUCCCUGGAGCAAGGACUAUCCAACACACCGCAUAAAUACUUAGGUAUCACACUACACACCAAAAUAGACAUAGACACUGAGUUUCCUGAAGAGGAAUCUGCACGACUGUACACAAAACACAUAGCUUAUAACACACUUGUUCGUCCAACAGUGGGGUAUUGCGCAGCAGUGUGGGACCAACACACACAAACAGUCAGAUUCAUUACAAACAAUUACAUUAAAACUCCUGGCAUCACAACACGUAUCAACAAGUAAGUAUGGAUACCCUCUCAAUACGCAGACAAUCACACAUAUUAGCAACUGUCAAAAUAACAAACAAUCAAUUUGACAUAAAUAGAUACGAUUACGUACACCAUUCAAACACGACUAAUGCGCGCAACGCUCACAACUGUAGGUACGUGACAUACCAACUAGUAGAGAUUUCUACAAAUACUCAUACUUACCACGUCCGUUCGUUCGAUAACAUAUAAUACACGCAGAAAAGCAGACACCUCACACAGGCACACCUCAGAACACGUGCAUAAAUACCAACGCCUAAGCAACCCGUACUCUCCCCCCUCUUGUGUGUGUGUGUG